AUGGCAAGACGGUUUAAGGAGAAAGUAGGGCAAGGAGGUUUUGGAACUGUAUACAAAGGCGAGCUACCAAGUGGAGUUCUCAUGGCAGUUAAGAUGCUAGAAAACUCUCAAGAGAGGGAGGAGAAUUCACUAAUGAAGUCACAACCAUUGAGGAGAAUACACCAUGCAAACGUUCUCCAACUCCUCAGCAAAGCUGUGUGCAAAGGACCAGAACAUCUUACCUUAACUGCGGCAAGAGGCACGAUGGGCUAUAUUGCACCAGAGCUAUAUUCAAGGAACUUUGGGGGAAUGUCAUACAUGUCAGAUGUGUACACUUUUGGCAUGCUGAUGUUAGAAAUGGUGAGUGGAAGGAGGAUCUCGGACCCAAGUGUUGGUAGCAAGAGCAAUGUUUACCUCCCAGAGUGGAUCUAUGAGAAAAUUUGA
rnacentral:rRNA from 1 species